GGAUGAUUAGCUCAGUUGGUAGAGCAGAUGACUCUUAAUCAUCGGGUCGCAGGUUCGAUCCCUGCAUCAUCCA
rnacentral:tRNA from 1 species